rnacentral:lncRNA from 1 species
ACUCUUGCGUGGUGGGUCGUUGGAUGUAAGACUGCAGAAGCCCGGAGAGCGGUGGGUCCCGGGUUUGGGGCCUCGCCGUAAGCUGGCCAGAGGCCGUCCCACCCUGCGAAGAGUUGCGGGAGCGGCUCCGCACUGCCCUCGGCUGUUUCUGCGCGCCCAGGAGCCCAACGCAAGUCACCCCGGACUCCAGCCAGCGGCCGCGGGCAUGCCAGCGCAGCGCUAGCGGCGGCCAAGACGUGGUCUGGCAGGGCGGUGGACGUGUGCGCCGCGGGCAUGAUCAAGGUUGGAGAGGUUCAUACCUGUUGGUGGAGAUGUUAGAGAGGAGUGGAGAUAAAAACUUGAUGAAGUCCGACACAGCUGGCUGGGAGUGAACCUGGAUGCUCCUAAGGACCCCCCAGGAAAGUAAGCACCUGGCAUGUGUAUCAGAAGACCCCCUAUGGCCUCACACACAGGCACCGGCUUCUUCUUGACAACUUCCCUGGGUGACUCUUAGAACUCAAUGGCCACGUCCAGCUCAGAGAUCAGAAGCAGCGCGCGUCCCAGAGCGCUACCAUAAUGAUGCCGUCCAGGUCCACAGUACAACCGGCUGCCUUGGUCAUUGCCGUAAUGACAGUACAUUCCAACUUCUCAAGGUGGUCAGGAAGUGGAACCAAGCAGGAAGUUCUGCAUGCCUAUGGCUUCCCUGUGGAGGGACCUCAAGAAGCCACAACAUCCAGCUCUACGCCAAGACUGACUGACGGCCUUUGGGGUGAGGUAGUAGGUUGUAUGGUUUUGGGCUCUGCCCCGCUCUGCGGUAACUAUACAAUCUACUGUCUUUCCUGAAGUGGCCGCAAUAUCUGCAGUGGAUACAACGGCGGCCCUGGCUGGGGAGACUGAGGGAGGGACAGGGGGGUGAUAACUACCAUGCAAAAAGAGCCUGACAGAGACCUUGGAUAGUCCCUUGACCUCUCUGGGCUGUUACUCAUCUGUAUAAGGGUUGGGGCAUAGCGAUGAAAACAGACAGCAUUUUCAGGGCACCUUCUCUCCCUGGCCCACACUGAAGGGGCCUUCCUGCCCCUGGCCCCAUAUCAGACCUGUGCUCACAGGUCUCCAUGAAAAGAGGGUCUGGACUAGACCUUCAACUAUGUUCCAGAGUUGCCCAGGCUUUCCAGCGCAGGGUCAGGCCUCUGACGAGCAAGCGUCUCUUCCGAGAAGAAAUUGAAAAGGAGCCAUUCUUAGCACACCCAUGAGUACAGCCUGCAGAUGGACCGUGUAGGCCACUGUCCCCUGUCCCUGGGGCAAUGGGUUCAGACACCAGAGGCUUCCUCAAUCUGUUUGGUAGGCACAGGCCUUUCUCACUGAACCUCUGUCUCCACUUCCCCCUCCCCCACCCCGCCCUGUGCCCUAUGGCUCUAGUGGCCUGUGGCCAGGGUGGGUGGGGAGCGGCUGGGCCUCCUCCAGAACACGGACACCGCAGGGUGAGGUAGUAGGUUGUGUGGUUUCAGGGCAGUGAUGUUGCCCCUCCGAAGAUAACUAUACAACCUACUGCCUUCCCUGAGGCGCCCAGGGACACAGCUACAUGGAGGCCCCCGCUCAGCAAGCUAAAUGGAGCCACAGAUUGGGUGGGGGCUAUGACGUGGGACCUGGGUAUAAAUAAAGGAUGUUCUGUCAUGAACUUA